CAGUAGCCGCGGUAAGACAGAGGAUGCAAGCGUUAUCCGGAAUGAUUGGGCGUAAAGCGUCUGUAGGUGGCUUUUCAAGUCCGCCGUCAAAUCCCGGGGCUCAACCCUGGACAGGCGGUGGAAACUACCAAGCUGGAGUACGGUAGGGGCAGAGGGAAUUUCCAGUGGAGCGGUGAAAUGCGUUGAGAUCGAAAAGAACACCAACAGCGAAAGCACUCUGCUGGGACGACACUGACACUAAGAGACGAAAGCUAGGGGAGCAAAUGGGAUUAGAGACCCCUGUAGUCCCUGUCUCUUAUAC
rnacentral:rRNA from 1 species